AAUGAGAGCCAUCGGGGGUAGAUCUAUCUCAUGACGAGUGGUGGAAUACUUUGACUCAUGAGAGAGAAGCUGAGGCGAAGGCGUCUACCUAGAGGGUUUCUGUCGAUCAAGGGCGAGAGUAGGAGUAUCCAACAGGAUUAGAGACCCUGGUAGUUCUUACCUUAAACGAUGCCGACAGGAGUUUGUCAUUUGUUAAUGGCAGAAUCUUUGGAGAAAUCAUAGUUCUUGGGCUCUGGGGGAACUACGACCGCAAGGCUGAAACUUGAAGGAAUUGACGGAAGGGCACACCAGGGGUGGAGCCUGUGGCUUAAUUUGAAUCAACACGGGGAAACUUACCAGGACCAGAUGUUUUUUAUGACUGACAGGCUUCGGGUCUUUCAGGAUAUUGUUUUUGGUGGUGCAUGGCCGUUGGUGGUGCGUGGGUUGACCUGUCUAGCGUUGAUUCAGCUAACGAGCGAGAUUAUCGCCAAUUAUUUACUUUGCCGAAGUCCUUCGGUUAAAGUUCUAAUUGGGACUCCCUGCGAUUUUAGCAGGUGGAAGAGGGUAGCAAUAACAGGUCCGUGAUGCCCUUUAGAUGCUCUGGGCUGCACGCGUGCUACAAUGUUAGGAUCAAUAGGACUGCGAGCCUGAGAGGGUGCGCUACUCUUAUAAUCCCUAACGUAGUUGGGAUUGACGUUUGUAAUCAGCGUCAUGAACCAGGAAUCCCUUGUAAAUGUGUGUCAACAACGCACGUUGAAUACGUCCCUGCCCUUUGUACACACCGCCCGUCGCUCCUACCGAUUGGAUGACUCGGUGAAAUCACCGGAUGCUUACGAGCAGAAAGUGAUUAAAUCACGUUAUCUAGAGGAAGGAGAAGUCGUAACAAGGUAACGGUAGGUGAACCUGCCGUUGGAUCAGUU
rnacentral:ncRNA from 1 species